AAAGGUAAGCUACUAAGAGCGAAUGGUGGAUGCCUUGACUGGUAAAGGCGAUGAAGGACGUACUAGACUGCGAUAAGCUACGGGGAGCUGUCAAGAAGCUUUGAUCCGUAGAUUUCCGAAUGGGGCAACCCAAUGUAUAGAGAUAUACAUUACCUAUAUAGGAGCGAACGAGGGGAAUUGAAACAUCUUAGUACCCUCAGGAAAAGAAAUCAAUAGAGAUUGCGUCAGUAGCGGCGAGCGAAAGCGCAAGAGGGCAAACCCAGUGCUUGCACUGGGGGUUGUAGGACUG
rnacentral:rRNA from 2 species